rnacentral:rRNA from 1 species
UGAAGGGUGCUAGCGUUGUUCGGAAUCACUGGGCGUAAAGCGCGCGUAGGCAGCUUUUCAAGUCAGGGGUGAAAUCCCAGAGCUUAACUCUGGAAUUGCCUUUGAAACUGAGAAGCUAGAGUAUUGGAGGGGAUAGCGGAAUUCCUAAUGUAGAGGUGAAAUUCGUAGAUAUCGAGAGGAACACCAGUGGCGAAGGCGAGUCCCUGGACAGGUCCUGACGCUGAGGCACGAAAGCUAGGGGAGCAAACAGGAUUAGAUACCCUGGUAGUCCUAGCCGUAAACGGUGCGUAUUUGCUGUAAAAGGAAUCGACCCCUUUUGUGGCGUAGCAAACGCGUUAAAUACGCCGCCUGGGAAGUACGGUCGCAAGAUUA